rnacentral:misc_RNA from 1 species
AAGUCGUAACAAGGUUUCCGUAGGUGAACCUGCGGAAGGAUCAUUAACGAGUCUUGACUGGGUUGUAGCUGGCCUUCCGAGGCAUGUGCACGCCCUGCUCAAUCCACUCUACACCUGUGCACUUAUUGUGGGUUUCGGAUGGUGGAACGAGCCUUUACCGGCUUGUGAAGCGUCCGGGCUUACGUUUAUUUACAAACCACACAAGUAUAAGAAUGUAUUGCGAUAUAACGCAUCUAUAAACAACUUUCAGCAACGGAUCUCUUGGCUCUC